AUGAACGCUAGCUACAGGCUUAACACAUGCAAGUCGAGGGGCAGCAUGGUCUUAGCUUGCUAAGGCCGAUGGCGACCGGCGCACGGGUGAGUAACACGUAUCCAACCUGCCGUCUACUCUUGGACAGCCUUCUGAAAGGAAGAUUAAUACAAGAUGGCAUCAUGAGUCCGCAUGUUCACAUGAUUAAAGGUAUUCCGGUAGACGAUGGGGAUGCGUUCCAUUAGAUAGUAGGCGGGGUAACGGCCCACCUAGUCUUCGAUGGAUAGGGGUUCUGAGAGGAAGGUCCCCCACAUUGGAACUGAGACACGGUCCAAACUCCUACGGGAGGCAGCAGUGAGGAAUAUUGGUCAAUGGGCGAGAGCCUGAACCAGCCAAGUAGCGUGAAGGAUGACUGCCCUAUGGGUUGUAAACUUCUUUUAUAAAGGAAUAAAGUCGGGUAUGGAUACCCGUUUGCAUGUACUUUAUGAAUAAGGAUCGGCUAACUCCGUGCCAGCAGCCGCGGUAAUACGGAGGAUCCGAGCGUUAUCCGGAUUUAUUGGGUUUAAAGGGAGCGUAGAUGGAUGUUUAAGUCAGUUGUGAAAGUUUGCGGCUCAACCGUAAAAUUGCAGUUGAUACUGGAUAUCUUGAGUGCAGUUGAGGCAGGCGGAAUUCGUGGUGUAGCGGUGAAAUGCUUAGAUAUCACGAAGAACUCCGAUUGCGAAGGCAGCCUGCUAAGCUGCAACUGACAUUGAGGCUCGAAAGUGUGGGUAUCAAACAGGAUUAGAUACCCUGGUAGUCCACACGGUAAACGAUGAAUACUCGCUGUUUGCGAUAUACUGCAAGCGGCCAAGCGAAAGCGUUAAGUAUUCCACCUGGGGAGUACGCCGGCAACGGUGAAACUCAAAGGAAUUGACGGGGGCCCGCACAAGCAGUGGAGUAUGUGGUUUAAUUCGAAGCAACGCGAAGAACCUUACCAGGGCUUGACAUAUAAGUGAAUAAUUAAGAGAUUAAUUAGUUCUUCGGAACACUUAUACAGGUGGUGCAUGGUUGUCGUCAGCUCGUGUCGUGAGAUGUUGGGUUAAGUCCCGCAACGAGCGCAACCCCUGUCCUUAGUUGCCAGCAUGUAGAGAUGGGAACUCUAAGGAGACUGCCGUAGAUAAUACGGAGGAAGGUGGGGAUGACGUCAAAUCAUCAUGCCCUUUAUGACUUGGGCUACACACGUACUACAAUGGCGUUAAACAAAGAGAAGCAAGACCGCGAGGUGGAGCAAAACUCAGAAACAACGUCCCAGUUCGGACUGCAGGCUGCAACUCGCCUGCACGAAGUCGGAAUUGCUAGUAAUCGUGGAUCAGCAUGCCACGGUGAAUACGUUCCCGGGCCUUGUACACACCGCCCGUCACACCAUGAGAGCCGGGGGGACCCGAAGUCGGUAGUCUAACCGCAAGGAGGACGCCGCCGAAGGUAAAACUGGUGAUUGGGGUG
rnacentral:rRNA from 1 species